GGUCCAUGGGGUCCAUGGGGUCACAAAGAGUCAGACACAGCUGAGUGACUGAGCACAGCAUGCACAUUUAUAUAUAGUUAAUCUAUAUUUAUAUAUGAGAUAUAAUAUAAAUAUGCUAUAUAAAAUGUAGGAAUAAUAUACUGUAUUUAUACCGAAUGCAUUUCUUAAGAAAAACAUGUGCUGCCUCUUUCUUAGCCAAGACACCUAGGGGAAAGUCUCAAAACCUAGGUAUAAAGUUGAAAAAGAAAAGAAAACCUAAAGGCAAAACAAACCCAGGAAGAGAAGCAAGACAGAAAAAUGUAGAAAGCUGGGAAGGAGAUGGCCUCUGAUUCUGCACUCAACCUGACUCAUGCUCAGUGGGGCAUGCGUUCGGAGCUGUUUGUUACAGGGCGAUGGAGCUGCUGUGAUUCAUCCUCCUUCUCUUGCUGGGAAUCCAUGUGACCAAAUGGCCUCUAUGAAAAAGCCGCAUGACCUUGACCUUUCCCCACGGGCCACACAGAUGCGCAUGUGGCGAGGAGCCAAGGCAAGUCGGGGACAGUUGGGUGCUUGUGGAGUCAAGCCAUGGUGUCCAAAUCCAGUUAAUCAAGCUGCCCAGGUCCAGCUCCCUGACUUUAGUCCGCAGCAGGUAUAACACCCACCAACAGAUGAGAAGUUGCAGAAGUAACUCAGUCAUAAACAUCUUGUCUCUGAAAAGAGAAAAUACCUAUAAAAGUGCCUGGCUCAUGUUAGGGCCUUAAUGGAUGUUUGUGGAAAGUAUUGUUGUUGGAAUGAACCCAGCCAUGAAAGAUCUUGUCUCCCUUCCUGACUCUUAGGUAGUUAGUCAAUUCAGCUGGAGGAAAAAGAAAAAAGAGAGCUGAACUACUUUUUAGACAUAAUAAUAAUUUCUAUUUUCGGUGGUGUUUUCCAGUUUGUAGAGUGCUCCUACAUCAAUAGCGCUUUUGAUUUUUGAGCAGCACUGCAGAGGCAGAGAAUGGUAGAGAGAGAACUCAGAGAUGGCCGGUGCUUUUCAAGGUCGCACGGUCAAGGCAGAGAAUGAAAUCCAAAUUCAGGCUUCUUCUCAAGAAACUGGAGCUGAAGUUUCUUGGCCUCGUUGGUCAGUUUCAUUUUUCAACAUUUCAAAGGAUUAGACUGAUGUUCUAAUUUAAUCAAAAGAAGAUUGGAGUUUGAAACAUCACAUAUGGGGCUUGGCCAACCAAGCCACAAUUCCUAAACCAAAACGAAGGGAUAAACUAAGCCUAAGAGCAGAGAACCCAGUGUUUGAGGGAGAAGAUGGUGAAGGGUGCAGUUUGGAACCACAUUCUUGCUUCAGCAGUUUCAUCCUCUGAACACAGGGGUGAUGUUACUAUUAUAGGAGAUUGUAGUAAGGACUUGAAGGGUUACUGCAUUCUCAGUGUCUAGCACAGUGCUUGGCACAGAGUAGGUGAUUAUUAAAAGCAAUUUUUCUAUUGCUCAUUUCCUUCUGUUUCUCUUUCUCUCAUCCUCUUGGCAUCAUUGUCUUCAUUCUCAUUUGCUCAGGAAAGUACAAGCGUUCUCUCACAAGAACACAGGACUUAGACCACUCAUGGGAUCCAAACAGAGGCUCAGAGAUUCAGAAGGUGGACUGCUGAGAACCAGCUGGGGACCCCGUAAGCUCCAGGGCUCAGGAAGUCUGAAUGGAAAGGCUUGAGAGUGGUUGUGAUCACCAGGUUACACCUUCUUACUUCCUAGGAUCCUUCUGAACUAGGCAUGCACCUUCAGCUGGGUUGUACCUAUCAACCAUUACCCAGCUCUUACUCCAGGACUCCGAACACUUUUUGUGGAACAGACUUUGCUGUGUCCGGUUCCUGGUGCCACCAUCCUCUGCACAGCAUCCUGUACCUGUAGAUUCUGCAGAAGCUCCUGCUUCAUUUCCUGCUGGAAUGGAAUGAUUCAGGAUCCCCCACUGUCCAUCAUCCCUGAGGGGGAGCAGUACUGAAGAAGAGCUUCUCAUGUUCCCCUUGACUCACCCCUAUGGACUUUGCUGGACUAAAAGAAGGUUGGCAUUCAUGCACUGUAAUUUCAUUGACACCAAAAAAAGCCUUUCCUUCACUCCCCUCACUUCCCCCAAACCCCAAGAAAACAAAAACAAACCCUCCCCUUUGUGUUAACCUGCUGAUAUACAACUCUUGGGGUUUUGUUCUUUUAAAUCAUCUAAAUGCAAAUUUUCUUAGAAGUCAUGAUAUUUAGAGCCUGAAAUUUGUCUGUCUGAACAAAUAAAAGAGUCUCAAUCUCCCCUCUGAGGUCCCUGUGUGAGGGAGGGCCUUAUAUAAUUGCUGAGGAGAAAAAGCAGCCCAGACUCUACUUAACCUACUUCUACAGUUUUGUUUUGAGCCCUUUUCGAGAGAGAGUGCAAGACCAGUUUCUCAUCAAACCCACAAAACUCAUAUUCUCAGACUUGGAGUUUUUUCUGUCCCCACCCCUACCUCACCCCACUUCCUCCCCACCUCUGUACUCCACCGUGGCAGGAAGGAAAGAUGGGACCUUUGCUGAGGGCUCAGGAGUGUGGUCUCAGAACCAGGGGGCCUGCCUUUCCAUCUAAGCGCUGACCCUCUCCAGCCAUGUGACCUUGGACAAGACACAUACUCUGUCUGGGCCUCAGUUUCCUCAUUUAUAUAUUUUGGGAACAAAAAUAGUUCUUAUUUCAUAGGAUUCGUUAAAGGUUUAAGAAUUAGUGCAUACAAAACGCUUAGAACUGUACUCAGAACCUAGAAAGCAUCAUCCACGUAGUCAGAUAACAGAGAGGAAAGCCCUGGUGUUGGCAUCAAGCCACCAGGGUCCGUACCCUGGUGCUGCUGCUUAUGACUGUGACCUUCAGCUAGAAACCCAAACCUCUCCGUCUCAGUUUGCUCCUUUGUAAAAGCAGAAUGUGUGCUAAGUCGCUACAGUUGUGUCUGACUCUGUGCAGCUCUAUGGCUUGUAGCCCACCAGACUCCUCCGUCCAUGGGAUUUUCCAGGCAAGAAUACUGGAGUAGCUUGCCAUUUGCUUCUCCAGGGGAUCUUUCCAACCCAGUAGACGAACCUGUGUCUCUUAUGCCUCCUGCAUUGGCAGGCAGGUCCUUUACCACUAGCGCCAUCUAGGAAGCCCGUAAAGGAGGAUAAUAGUAACCGUAUCAGGGGAUUGUUGAGAAGUUUAAAUGAGUUAAUAUUACAAAGCUUUUCAAUCAAACACACCAGGCACCAGUGAGCACUCAGUGUAAUUAUUAUUUUACUCUAUAGCAUGUUGACAUUGUACAAGGU
ensembl:lncRNA